rnacentral:rRNA from 1 species
UACGAAGGGGCUAGCGUUGCUCGGAAUGACUGGGCGUAAAGGGCGCGUAGGCGGUUUGGACAGUCAGAUGUGAAAUUCCUGGGCUCAACCUGGGGGCUGCAUUUGAUACGUUCGGACUAGAGUGGGGAAGAGGGUCGUGGAAUUCCCAGUGUAGAGGUGAAAUUCGUAGAUAUUGGGAAGAACACCGGUGGCGAAGGCGGCGACCUGGUCCUUGACUGACGCUGAGGCGCGAAAGCGUGGGGAGCAAACAGG